ACUCCUACGGGAGGCAGCAGUGGGGAAUUUUGGACAAUGGGCGAAAGCCUGAUCCAGCAAUGCCGCGUGUGUGAAGAAGGCCUUCGGGUUGUAAAGCACUUUUGUCCGGAAAGAAAUCCUUGGCUCUAAUACAGUCGGGGGAUGACGGUACCGGAAGAAUAAGCACCGGCUAACUACGUGCCAGCAGCCGCGGUACUACGUAGGGUGCGAGCGUUAAUCGGAAUUACUGGGCGUAAAGCGUGCGCAGGCGGUUUGCUAAGACCGAUGUGAAAUCCCCGGGCUCAACCUGGGAACUGCAUUGGUGACUGGCAGGCUAGAGUAUGGCAGAGGGGGGUAGAAUUCCACGUGUAGCAGUGAAAUGCGUAGAGAUGUGGAGGAAUACCGAUGGCGAAGGCAGCCCCCUGGGCCAAUACUGACGCUCAUGCACGAAAGCGUGGGGAGCAAACAGGAUUAGAAACCCGAGUAGUCCCAU
rnacentral:rRNA from 1 species